rnacentral:misc_RNA from 1 species
CCUUCUCCACACGUCGCGUCUCUGCCUCCCUCCCUUGCUUCUGCCCUUUUCCACAUGAGAUGAGCGGCUUGCAUCCAAGUGUGCGCGUGUUUCGGUAUUUUCGUUGUUUUUUGUCGCUGUCGUGUGUGUGUGUGUGUGUGUGUGUGUGUGCAGGGGGAGGGGGAGGGGAGUGGAUAGAAAGGGUGCAUGAGUAUGGCAGACAUAAGACACAGUGCCCGUAGCCCUUUACGAGUCACACGCAUCAAGGGCUUGAAAUCAGCAUAUCGAUUUCCCUUUCUUUGCUUUUGUCCUCGAUUAUCUUGCCGUUUCCACUAUCGCUGCCCCCUCCCCCUCCAAGAAAUAUAUAGCUGGUGUGUGCACCCCCUUGUGUGCUGGACUGGAUGAAGGCCCUUCCCUGUCUCUCACCCUCUCUCGCCCUGGUUCUUGAUCGUCUCCCCUUCCCCUUCCCCUCGUCCUUCUCCUUCUUCGGCUUGAGUCGGUGUGUGUUGGCCGAUGACGUUGGUGUUGUGCGGUGCGCUUCUGCACUUCGUUCAUGUGUGUUGGUGUUCAGGGGAAGGGGUGGCCGAGGUGCUUUAUGUUGUUUUUUUGUGGUUGAGUGGACGAUGGCGGUCACCCGUUGGUGCUGAGGACGGAAAGCUCAAAGAGAAAAUGGGCUUCGUGGCACGCGUUGUGACCCUCGCUCAGGCAGAAGGGGGAGGGAGGUCAUAAACAAAACAGCAACCCCACUGACGCCACCGCUCUCUCUCUCUCUCACUCUCAUGCGACGAAGGUGGGCCUCAAAAGGGGUGUGCGAAGAUGUGUGCGCUUGUCGUUACGACAUGUUCACGUUCAGUGCCCAUCACCUAGCGCAAUGUCUUGCGUCUCACUAUGUAACCGGAGUGCGCAGUAAACAAGACGCAAUAAAAGUGCUGGUGUGAGUUGUUCGCCGUCAUGACAUCACCCGGUUACUAAAAAAGCGGGGCUGCGCCUCCGCCCACGACCCUCUCUCCCUCCAUCCACCUUCGUCUAUUGCUCUCGUCCAUCGCCUGUGUUGUUUUUCCCACCUUCUACGUGAACAAAG